rnacentral:rRNA from 1 species
AGCGGCGGAUGGGUGAGUAACACGUGGGGAACCUGCCCCUAAGUCUGGGAUACCAUUUGGAAACAGGUGCUAAUACCGGAUAAUAAAGCAGAUCGCAUGAUCAGCUUUUGAAAGGCGGCGUAAGCUGUCGCUAAGGGAUGGCCCCGCGGUGCAUUAGCUAGUUGGUAAGGUAACGGCUUACCAAGGCAACGAUGCAUAGCCGAGUUGAGAGACUGAUCGGCCACAUUGGGACUGAGACACGGCCCAAACUCCUACGGGAGGCAGCAGUAGGGAAUCUUCCACAAUGGACGCAAGUCUGAUGGAGCAACGCCGCGUGAGUGAAGAAGGUUUUCGGAUCGUAAAGCUCUGUUGUUGGUGAAGAA